rnacentral:snRNA from 1 species
AGAUGAAAGGGUGAUCUGCCUGCGGUAUCUGUCACUCCAUUGAUUGCCAGGGUCGAUUCAACUGAUCUGGCUGCCUAGGUGGGUGUCCCCUUCCUCCCUCACCACUCCAUGUGCAUCCCUGCCAGAGCUGCAUGCUCAGCCAAAGAGGACAACCUUCCCUAAUAGAGAAGUACUGUUCAUCCUUCAAGGGUAUACGGUAGCUGCGCUCCCUUGCUAGAACCUGCAAAUAAACUCUGUGAUUCUGUGAUCAUUUCUGCUCUACUUCAUUUAUAACCAUUUUGUACUUAGUACUGUUU